GUUGUCGGUCAUAGGACGCGUGUCCCACCUGAUCCCGUUCCGAACUCAGAAGUUAAACCGUGUUCCGUUCCCAACUGUAGUGCGGUCUUCGGCCGCGUGAACUCGGGAAAGCUGACACUA
rnacentral:rRNA from 1 species